UUUCCUUAGAGGUUUCAAAAUCUAAUCUUACCACCUGUUCUUCAUUUACUAGCAGGAAUACUUCUGUAAAGAGAAAGUUUUCAUUAUUAUCUACUUGGCUGCCCUUAGGUACAUGUAAGAAAGUCAGGAUAAAUACUUUGUUUUCAAAUUUGUCCAUAAGUUUUCAAAACAAUGAAUUGAGUUGCUAGCAUCUUCCAAAGGUGAUUAAUCGAUGUGUUUCAAUCCACUAUAAUUAUCAUUCCUAUUGAUGCUCAAAUUCUGUCUUCAACCAGUGGGAGCUUCUGCAAGUUGGUUCCUGAGUCUUUUCAACAUGACAUUGGUAGUCUUUGACAGAAUCCUUGAUUUCUGGCUCAGUGUUUUCUUUGAUUACUUAUAUAUAAGGACCAGUUUCCAAGAUGCAAAUAUAAUUUAAAUUCAGACUUAGAAUAAUCUAUUGAAAAAAAUUCAGAGAACUACCCAAAAAACAUUCAGAAACAAUGCCAAGAGAAGCCAAUUACUGCAUAAUAUCCUCAUAAGAGUUUCUUCUGAAAUUUCUCUCUAUUCAUUCUUACUGAUGGAAAAAAGAAUUGUCCUUUGUUCGGAGGUCAUACAGGGGAAGUGGUGAAUACCAACAUCUCUGCCUGGGAGAAGCCCUAGAAAGUGUCUCAGCUUUCUUUUUGUUUGCUCCUCUGCCCUUGGGAGUGAGUAAGGUGAAAGAGUUUGGACCAGGAAGCAAUUGCUUCUCUUAUUCUAUUUAGUGUGUAUGUCCUGUCUGAGUAUUUGGCAAAAAAAUGACUCAUUCUCUGACCUUGUUUUAAAGCCCAGGUGUUGAUAUGUUAUCUCACAUUCCAGAGGAAAAAAUAUUGCAUUGUCAAUAUGUAAAAGUGUAAGAAGUAAAAAAAAUAUUGGUGUGGUCAUAGUAAGUGUAAGUUCAGUCCUUUAAGACUUUACUGGUAGAGGAGCAUUAACACAAGCUUUGGACUUAGAUGGGCUUGAGUUUAAAUUCUAGCUCUGCUACUUUCUCGCUGAGGGAUUUUGGCCAAGUUAUUUGUGUAAUCCCCUGCACUUGACUAACUGCUUUCCAACCAAAGAAUAUGGCAACUUAGAGAGGGUGUCACUUCCCUGAUUAGUUGACAAAAGAUUAUGACUUCUAUCUUACCAGAAGACUCUCUCUCCCUUGCUGAUUUUGGUGAAGCAAGCUGCCAUAGGAGGGAAGCUCUUCUGCCAUAGGAAAGAGGACCUGAGGGCAGGCUCUAGCCAAAGCUAGCAGGGAACUGAAACCUUCAGUUAAACAUCCCUCAGUGAAAUCAAUCCAGCCAACAAUCAUGUGUGUUAGCUUGGAAGCAGAUCCUUCUCUAGGCGAGCCUUCAGAUAACAUCCCAACUUUGACAGAUCUCCUGACUGCAGCCUUGUGAGAGACCAUGAAGUAGAGGAUCCAGUUAAGCCAUCCCUAGAACCUUGACCCACAGGUGGUUUUUUUGGGGGUGGGACGGGAGGAGUUAAUUGGUUAUUCAGCAAUAUGUAACACAAGUCCACAGGAGUCAUUACCAGAAGUGAUUCAGUGGAGGUGGAAUCAAGUGAACACUGUUGUGCAUGGACCCCAAGUGCUUCCAGUUCUAAUGGACGUUGAUAUCUAACACCGAACACUUUUCAUUUCUCUUUUAUUCUCCCAUUCUUUCCUCCCUUCUCUCUCUCUUUCUCUCCUUCCUUUCUUUCCUUCUACUCUUUCCCAUACUUUUAAUUAAUAAAGCAAUUGGAAAUAAAGUCAAUAGCAACACAAAAGAAAACCCCUGCAUCUGUAAAACAUUAUGAUUUGCACGUUUCCAUAAUGGCCUGCCCCGGGCUUCAUAUAUAGGCUUCCAGUGCAAACAAAGGUUUGGCUGUUGGUAUUACUGAAUUAUCAUGGAGUUGCAUCAUUGCUGUCCAUUCCAUUUUGUUUUCCUUUUUUUUUUUUAAUUUAUAGAAGUGUCUUUAUUCUUGUAUGGGAUUUGUGUACUCAUGUUCUCUCUCUCUUUUCUUCUGUAGGCAAUUUACAGCAAGGAUCUCUCAGUAUCACUUGCUGACUUCAAUUUGAAGAUGAUUUUUUUUGGGGCCGGCCCGGUGGUGCAGCGGUUAAGUGCCCACGUUCCGCUUCGGGCAGCCUGGGGUUCACCGGUUUGGAUCCCUGGUGUGGACAUGGCACCGCUUGUCAAGCCAUGCUGUGGUAGGUGUCCCACCUAUAAAGUAGAGGAAGAUGGGCACAGAUGUUAGCUCAGGGCCAGUCUUCCUCAGCAAAAAGAGGAGGAUUGGCUGCAGAUGUUAGCUCAGGGCUGAUCUUCCUCAAAAAAAAAAAAAAAACAUGAUUUUUUUCUGCAGGUACUCUCUCUACAAAAUUAAAAACUUUGAGCAUGUGGAAAUAACACCCAUGUUGUACAUUGUCUUACUGAUUUCCCCUAUCCUUUUCAUCUACAACAAUACCAGAAAGAUUGUCACUUUUGAGCAGUCUUUGCUUCUAUUUUGUCUGCACAAGUCGCUAAAGGAAUUAGGCAAGGACCAUUUCAAGUGAGUCCAUCUGUAUAAAACCUUGAAAAUAAUGUGAAGCCAGCCCUUGAUAAAUGGGGAUGGG
ensembl:lncRNA